UGUAGUGGAACACUUCAACAUUCCAUCAUCAUAUCUGUAACACAUUUUGGAACAUCAGGGACCUUGUGUGCUUUUGUUUUGUGAAAGACAUGAAGACAUCACAUCACGUGUGUUUUGUUUCUCUGUUUCAGACAAUCUUGGACAAUGUACCUGUGGAGGAGAACUGAUCCUAAAUUGAGCUCAAGAGCAACAGUGACUCUGCAAUCUGAACAGAGGAAAAGAAUACAGAGCUGAGAACGAGUGAGAAGGAAAGCUACAAUCUUGGACAAUGUACCUGUGGAGGAGAACUGAUCCUAAAUUGAGCUCAAGAGCAACAGUGACUCUGCAAUCUGAACAGAGGAAAAGAAUACAGAGCUGAGAACGAGUGAGAAGGAAAGCUACAAUCUUGGACAAUGUACCUGUGGAGGAGAACUGAUCCUAAAUUGAGCUCAAGAGCAACAGUGACUCUGCAAUCUGAACAGAGGAAAAGAAUACAGAGCUGAGAACGAGUGAGAAGGAAAGCUACAAUCUUGGACAAUGUACCUGUGGAGGAGAACUGAUCCUAAAUUGAGCUCAAGAGCAACAGUGACUCUGCAAUCUGAACAGAGGAAAAGAAUACAGAGCUGAGAACGAGUGAGAAGGAAAGCUCCCUGUGAUAGACUGGUGACCUGUCCAGGGUGUCCCUUGCCUUCACCCUAAAGUCAGCUGGGAUAGACUCCAUUCUCCCCGACCCUAAUGAGGAUUAUGCAGUGUACAGAUAAUGGGUGGGACAAAACGUUAUACUGUUUAUUUACACAGCAGAAGGCAAAAAGACCUGUUUGAAUGAAGUCCCUGUGAGUUUGAGCAGAUUUUGAAAUGAGGUCAGGAGCACCAGUGAACAGAGGCCAAGAAAUCAGACCCGAGGACGACUGAGAAGAAAAGCUGUUGGUAAACUCUUAGGAUUCCCACAAUUUUGUCUGAAAGUAGUUCUGCAUGAAUGCUUGAAGAGUGAGAGGAUCUUGCAUUGUUCACUUUGGACUGAAUUCACAGAUAGUUUGUAAAUGACCUGUGUGAUAGGAAAGCUCCUUUGUUCUGGCUCCGAUCUACAACAGAUUGUUUAUAAUAUACUAGAUCUCUUCCUGUAGGAAACUAAGAGAGAAAAAAUAUGACCGGUUAUAUAAAAAAUAUACCAAAUGUAAGACUUUUGGAGGUUUCCACUGUUUUGAAGAAAGUUAUUUUUCUCUCUCAUGACCUUUCUUCUUCUCGUAUCUUCAGAUUGUAUCUUUGACUUAAGUCCUCAAAUGAAACUUGUCAAACUUCCGAUACUAAAGAUAUUGGUUGUAGGUUAACAAGAUGCAGUAUCACUGUUCUGAAAAAAGUGACAAUGUCUGUUUUUUUAAUGAUGGAGGAACCAACAGCAUGAUGGAGAAGAAAGUUUUGCAGUCGGGUUCCUUCUAAACCUCUGUCCCUUCAGGGCAAAGGUCUGGA